GCCAAUGUAGCUUAACGGGUAAAGCAUUCCCUUCGUAAGGGAAAGACCGUCGGUUCGAGCCCGACCAUUGGCUCCA
rnacentral:tRNA from 5 species